ACAUUAGGGAUAUGUUACAGUCAUCACAACGUGUCUGUGAAUAACCACCUACUCUGUCUGCAUUUCCCUACAGAAAGCAGAAUAAGUGCUGGAUGGGGAGCAGGGAACACAAAACAACAAAAAAUGGUGCAGCUGCACUUGGUUUUUCAUUAUCUCCAGGCCAGGCACUAGAUUUUAAGAGAAACCAUGGGAACUGAGGCACCAAAUAAAAUUGCUCAUAAAUGUAAAUUAAAGCACAUUUAAUCACAGGUGCAAAUUGUGCAGGUUUUUAUGUCUCAGCAUUUCUCGUAUAAGAGCAAUAAGGUCUCUAGGUGUCUGAAGAAGUAAGGCGUAUUUGCCAAUAAUGACAGACCUAAAAAUGGAAUCCACAUGUUCUAAAUGACCACAUAUUGCUUUCAGACAUGUCAGGGUCAUGUUAAACCGUGAUUUAAAUUAGGCAAUAGUUAACUUAUAAGAACCCUGUCUCUUGGUGACAUUAGUCAGUCCAGAACCAUUGACUCACUCAGACUCUAUCUAAAUAGGGAGAUUUGGUGCUUUCUCUUUUCAGCUAUGAAAUGUAAAUAUUUUAUGAAGGCAGAAAUUGUGGUUAACAUGCUACAUGCUUGAAAAUACGCUAGAAGUCUCAUGACUUAGCUGAAAGUAGCUGACAGGAAGCACAGGAAAACAGAAGCUCCUCAAAAGACAUUAAAAAGGUGUGUUUCUCUCUACAGGUUAUUUAGCCAUGAGGUCUCAAAAGACAAAGCCAAGUAAUGCCUCCUCAUGAAUCAGCAGAAAGCCUGUAGUCUUAUAACAGGGACCUAAUUUGAGAUGAAUAAACAGCCUGAUUUAGAGAAGGGACAAGUUGUGUCUUCCAUCUCUUAGAGGAGUGUCCUAAUCCAUAGGCAAUAGGUGAUUCUAGGAUGGGAGCUUCUCCUUCUGCAGCCACUUCUGUUUUGAAUCAAAAAGUAUAUAUGGCACUGAGAAAAGAAAAGCCAGCUAGCUGAUGAGAGUGGUCUUCUAGGGUGUCUGAGACUCAUGUUUGAACCUCUUUCUGGCCUCAGGAUGUAAUCUUGAACAAGGCUUUCUUGUAAGCCAGGUGAGUACUUUAACUACCAUGCUUAGAUUUACCAGAUCUAUCUGGAACAUACUUAUUCUGUCCCAUUAAUAUUGCAAUGGAGAAUGCAGUUCAUCUGCAUCACCUUUAGCAGUCUAUUUUCCCUCUAACCCAGUUAUGUGACCUAAAACUUUGAUUGUCUGGGUCAAAUUCAGAUGUCUGGGAAGUCUAAGCAUGCUGAUCUGAAAAGAGAAAGAAAACUUUGUUUCUAGAAAGGUCAUGGUUUCAUCUGAUACGAAAUGGAGAAAUACCUUCAAUCUUCAGAAAUUUUAAUGGCAAGGGAAAAUUCUUUCUUUGCAGUUGCAGUGCUGUUGUAGAGAACUGUAAUAGAAAUGCUAAGAGUGAUAUGAAUGGGAAUUGUCUGGGUGUGGAAGUACUGAAAGGGACUCGAGGUCAGAAAAGGAUGAUAGGACUGGCCUGUGUUGAUGGCACCUAGAUUAGCAAGUCAUGAGGACUUAGCACACAUACAUGUGCAACUUCUUGUUGAGAGACAAAGGACCGUAAAUCCUGAUUACUCACAGAGGUGGGACAGGAUGGACAGACUGAUCAC
rnacentral:lncRNA from 1 species